UACGGGGGGGGCAAGCGUUGUCCGGAUUUAUUGGGCGUAAAGAGCGUGUAGGCGGCCUGACAGGUCUGCUGUGAAAACUCGAGGCUCAACCUCGAGAUGUCGGCGGAAACCGUCUGGCUAGAGUCCGGAAGAGGAGAGUGGAAUUCCCGGUGUAGCGGUGAAAUGCGCAGAUAUCGGGAAGAACACCCGUGGCGAAGGCGGCUCUCUGGGACGGUACUGACGCUGAGACGCGAAAGCGUGGGGAGCGAACAGG
rnacentral:rRNA from 1 species